AACAGGACAUCCUCUGGUAAGGACAUGACAUCCUAGACUCCUUUAGCAACAUAAAGACACAAUAACUCAAAUAUCAUGGAAACAGUAUCAUUUUUCAACAUCUCAUUGUGAACAAUACAUGAUAACUAAAGCUAUCAAAGACACUACAAAUACAUGGUUUUACAUUCUCUGGUGAUGUUUCAUGACCUUACACACACAUGCACACACACACACCUGUUAUCCUAUGGUCUAUAUCUGUCUAUAUCUAUACAGAUAUACACAGGCCUGAGCUAGGUCUUUUGCGGAAGACUGACAGUUGCCCAUGCAUGCAAGUCUCUUGUCUCCAUGUCACUGACACUGUCCAAAGAAAGGCUUGCUGCUUCCAUGCUGACAUAACCUAACACCAGUGUUUGUUGAAAACAUUUAGUGUCAGAAUAAAAAGAGCCAGAACAGAUAAAGCAUACCGUUUGAUGUUAUAACAGUUCUACUGAUCCAUAACCCGAGAUUAGUAUAGUUUUAUUGGCCCUGAAAGGAAGAAAGAUUAAGCUGCCCCUAUAACUGAGAGAGAACGGGAGCGAGGAUGGUCAGAGAAUGAGGACUGUAAUGAUGGAAAGGAUGACAGUCGUAGUUGUGAUGGUGGUGAUGAUGAAGAUGGUGGCAGUAAUAACAAAGAUGAUGACAAUGUUAAUGAAGAGGAUGAUAAAGUUGGAAACAACAAAGAUAAUGAAGAUAGCACUAAUAAUUAUUGUGGAAAUGCCUAACAAAUACAAUCAACAGUUAGCGCAUGAGUUAAAACAUUGCAAAAGUCACUGGAUUGUGGCAAUGCUGGGGAAACCACCUUGAAGGUUUUACUCAAGAAAAAUUGACCUUAGAACUUAUUUUUUAAAGUUUGGUUCUAUAUGGAACUGUUUAAUCAUGCCAUGUACAAAAGAAGCCUUGGAACUGUCUGAAUUUCAAAGAGGCCAUAUUGUGGGUCAUUCUGAAGGUGGACAUAGUGUAAAAUAGCAGAAAGCCUCAGAAUCCCACUUUCUACAGUUAAUAGAGUGAUUAUGCAAUUCAUCAAAGAGGGGAAGGAGUCAACAUUACCUUGUCCAGAUCAACCAGGGCCCUCUGACAGAACCUUUCUUUACCUUAGAGAAGUGUGGAGGAUAAUCCUCACUGCAAGGCCUCUGACAUAGCAGAGCAAGUUAAUGCCAGUUUCAGAACAGCUGUCAGGUAUCUUCACAAACUUGGUUACUAUGGCAGAGCAGCAAGAAGGAAGCCACUUCUUCGACCAGCCAGCAUCAAGCAGAGAAAAGAUUGGGCCAGUGAGAUGGUGGAGAGGCCAUUAGAAUUUUGGGACACUGUCAUAUUCUCUGAUGACUCCAGAUUUACUGUAUUUCCUGACAGUGGUUCAGUGUGGGUCUGGAGACUCUGUGAUAAGAAUUUGAUGUGAAAAGGUUACAGCUAACGAUGAAAUACAGCAGCUAUUCUGUGAUGGUCUUGGGAACAAUUUGGAGCAAUGGUUGAUCAGAGCUGGUGGAGUGGGAGGGAAACAUAAACUCAGAUAAAUAUGUGUCCAUAUUGCAGAAAGAACUUCCAAUCUUCUCUACUAGUGAAAUGAUUAAAGAAGACUCUUUAUUUAUGGAAGAUGGUGCUCCUUGUCACACGGCUAGAAUGACCCAAGAUUUGUUGGAUGAGAAUGGCAUUAAAAAACUUCCAUGGCCAAGCCAGUCACCAGAUAUGAAUCCUAUUGGACAUCUCUGAGUCAUAAUGAGCAGGACACUUCAUACUUUCAAGUGCUUUAACACCCAGUGCCAUAUGACCAAAUCACAGCCUACUGGCAAAUACAUGAAGCCUUAACACAUGCCAGCAUGGAAAGCAAAUAAACAAUGAUGGUGACGAUGAUUAAAUAUAUAUAUAUAUAUAUAUAUAUAUAUAUAUUUGAAUAUCACACUGAUUUUUUUAAUUUUAUAAGCAGGUCCAUGGGUAAUAAAGAUACUAAAUUAAAAAAUAG